AUGGGAAUAGCCGCGGGAAACUGCGGGUAAUUCCCAGCGAUGUUUGCGAAGGGCAUCCUUUACUAACCAAAGUUCCGGCGUUGUGGGACGGGCCGUUGUGGUAUUAGUUUGUUGGCGGGGUGACGGCCCACCAAGACUUCGAUGCCUACCGGGCGUGCGAGCGUGGCCCGGCACACUGGAACUGAGACACUGUCCAGACUCCUACGGGAGGCUGCAGUCGAGAAUCUUCGGCAAUGGGCGCAAGCCUGACCGAGCGACGCCGCGUGGAGGACGAAGGCCUUCGGGUUGUAAACUCCUGUCGAGGGGGAGGAAGGCGUAAGCUUGACCGAUCCCUGGAGGAAGCACGGGCUAAGUUCGUGCCAGCAGACGCGGUAAGACGAACCGUGCGAACGUUAUUCGGAAUCACUGGGCUUACAGCGCGU
rnacentral:rRNA from 1 species